rnacentral:rRNA from 1 species
GACGAACGCUGGCGGCGUGCCUAAUACAUGCAAGUCGAGCGGAGUCAUUUUGAAAGCUUGCUUUCAAAAUGACUUAGCGGCGGACGGGUGAGUAACACGUAGGCAACCUGCCCCUUAGACUGGGAUAACUACCGGAAACGGUAGCUAAUACCGGAUAUUUUCUUUUUUCUCCUGAAAAAAGAAUGAAAGACGGAGCAAUCUGUCACUGAGGGAUGGGCCUGCGGCGCAUUAACUAGUUGGUGGGGUAACGGCCCACCAAGGCGACGAUGCGUAGCCGACCUGAGAGGGUGAACGGCCCCACUGGGACUGAAACACGGCCCAAACUCCUAGGGGAGGCAGCAGUAGGGAAUCUUCCGCAAUGGACGAAAGUCUGACGGAGCAACGCCGCGUGAGUGAUGAAGGUUUUCGGAUCGUAAAGCUCUGUUGCCAGAGAAGAACGUCCGGUAGAGUAACUACUAUCGGAGUGACGGUACCUGAGAAGAAAGCCCCGGCUAACUACGUGCCAGCAGCCGCGGUAAUACGUAGGGGGCAAGCGUCGUCCG